rnacentral:rRNA from 1 species
CAGCCGCCACGGGAAUACGGAGGGAGCUAGCGUUGUUCGGAAUUACUGGGCGUAAAGCGCGCGUAGGCGGUUACUCAAGUCAGAGGUGAAAGCCCGGGGCUCAACCCCGGAACUGCCUUUGAAACUAGGUGACUAGAAUCUUGGAGAGGUCAGUGGAAUUCCGAGCGUAGAGGUGAAAUUCGUAGAUAUUCGGAGGAACACCAGUGGCGAAGGCGACUGACUGGACAAGUAUUGACGCUGAGGUGCGAAAGCGUGGGGAGCAAACAGGAUUAGAUACCCGCGUAGUCCCUGUCUCUUAUAA